rnacentral:lncRNA from 1 species
UUUGGGAUAGAUGAGAGGUGAGAUGGGAAGGGAAUAAAAGUUUUAGGGGAAAAGUGGAAGGGAGUAAAAAUUUUGGGGGAAAAUAAAAGGUUUUGAGGGUUUUUGGGAGUAAAAUUUUGAGAAAAAAAUAAAUGGGAGAGUAAAAUUUUGGUGGGAAAUGGAUUUUGGGUAGAUUGGGGGGUUGGGAGGGGAGGGGAGUAAAAGUUUUGGGGGGAAAGUGGGAAGGAGUAAAAGUUUUGAGGGAAAAGUAAAAAGGUUUGGG